rfam:Slackia piriformis YIT 12062 genomic scaffold supercont1.1, whole genome shotgun sequence.
GUCUUGGUCGGAAACCAAGGCGCCUGAAAAGGAG